rnacentral:rRNA from 1 species
AGUUUGAUCAUGGCUCAGAUUGAACGCUGGCGGCAGGCCUAACACAUGCAAGUCGAGCGGAUGACAGGAGCUUGCGUCCUGAAUUCAGCGGCGGACGGGUGAGUAAUGCCUAGGAAUCUGCCUGGUAGUGGGGGACAACGUUUCGAAAGGAACGCUAAUACCGCAUACGUCCUACGGGAGAAAGCAGGGGACCUUCGGGCCUUGCGCUAUCAGAUGAGCCUAGGUCGGAUUAGCUAGUUGGUGAGGUAAUGGCUCACCAAGGCGACGAUCCGUAACUGGGUCUGAGAGGAUGAUCAGUCACACUGGAACUGAGACACGGUCCAGACUCCUACGGGAGGCAGCAGUGGGGAAUAUUGGACAAUGGGCGAAAGCCUGACCCAGCCAUGCCGCGUGUGUGAAGAAGGUCUUCGGAUUGUAAAGCACUUUAAGUUGGGAGGAAGGGCAUUAACCUAAUACGUUAGUGUUUUGACGUUACCGACAGAAUAAGCACCGGCUAACUCUGUG